GCCUUAGUAGCUUAAUCAAAGCAUCGGCCUUGUAAGCCGAAGAAUGGAGACUAACCUCUUCCUAAGGCU
rnacentral:tRNA from 1 species